GCAGCCACCCACGGAAAUAAUCCCUUUGGAGAACGGCUUUUCUGUCCUUCGCACCUGUGAGGCCAAGACUGGCCGAAUGUAGCAAAUUUAACGUUUAUCUCAUAAUUUCUUUCUACUGUAUUUCUUACAUUACUUUAUCUUUUACUUCCCCCCCCCUUCCUUCCUAAGUUCACCCUUUGCUCAGGACGUCGCAAGCCGAGUUCUACAAACCUUAAGAUUCAGAACGAGAUGUCUCACUUAACCAAUUCGUCUUUGCUGCUUUCACAGCCCGCGUUUCGAAUUGAAGAAGAAACUAGAAGGAAGGAAGCACCGGAUGGUUCCUUCAGACGGGCUUCCCCGGGGGUGUUUAAAGGAGAACUUAGCGUCAGAAUGGAUUCAGUUGCUGCCCCCCCCCAGGGUUUACAUUUCGGUGAAUAAGGCAGACAAGACAUCAGGCCGCAUAAAUCGGUGCAUCGAUAUGAUGGCGUGAUGAUGCUGAUUAUUGGUAAUGGACUGCAUCUGCCGAGAGCCGUGGGCCCUCAGUCACUCGGCUCAGUGCUUUAAGUGCAUCGACUCUGUACGGUCGAGAGCACCUGCGUGGAUUCGGUGCUCUAGGUUAAGAGACUGGCCCCAGGUCGCACGGUUGGGGGUGCGGCAGGACGUUUCACGCGUGCGGCGUGCGGCCAGCGCCCGGGUGCUUCUUUGCACGCUAUUGCCAUUGGAGACGUCCCGGGUGUGUGCGGAUGAACGGGAGGCGCAGUCAAGCCAGAGUGAGGCCGGCAGGGUUUGAGCGAAACUCAAGGAGUGGAGUGGGAACUAGUGGGAUGCAGGACGGCGAGAUGGAUGGAGGGGGCCACGCGGGCUCAGGGCGGCCUGGAGCUUAGUGUGCUGGGGUCCGGGGAUGCGGGGAAAGGCCUGGGAGGAGGUGGCCGGGGGGAACAGAAUGGCGACCACACGCCGCAAACACGCGGUCCCAAGCUCGCGAAGAACAGGCCCUGAGAACUCGGGCAAACGUGUGGGAUGCAAAGGCCGGGAAAGCGUCAGGGUCUCCUCUCAGGCUGACCUUUCCCUGCUGCCGGUCAGUGCACGGUGAGCCGGCAUGAGCAGGGCAAACCAGACGGAAUCACGGAAGGAGGGAGGAGAUGCGGAGGAAAAGAACAAUUAUGGAGCGACUCUUCCCUGGAAGGGUUUGCUAGGUCUCAACCUCGUCCUUCUUGAAACUCUGGCCUUCAGGGCCUCCGGAAGUCCCCCUGGCCUACGCUUCCUCCUGGGCCCGAUGGCUUACUGUCCCAGCCACGGGGGCCUGUAGGCCCACCGUCUCCUCACUCGCUGGCCCCGUCCUGGCUCUCGCCCUGUUCUCCACCAUCACCUGCCGCUGGAGUCAUCAUCAGGAGUCCGGGUCAUGGGCUCCAUUAAACACCUGCCUUUGCAUACCUCACAGGGGCCCACCCCCAAGGACUCUCGCACCCCCCUUUCUCUGUAAUGACCCCCCUCAUUAUGGCUUUAUAGCAGACACCUGCCGUGCUCGUGGAUGGCCAUGGCCAACCUCUUUUCAUACUUCGCAUGUAGGAAGUUCACCUCUGCAUUCAGAAGCCAAGCUCUCCAGCCCUGUCCCACUCGGGAAGCACACCCCCGGGGGGCGAAGGCUUGCCAGUCCCUUCCUUCCGAGGGAGGCCUGGUUUGGAGGUCGCCAGGCGAGCCAGGCUCCACGCGGGGCUUCGGGCCGGCUGAUGCAGCUGGUUUCAGACGGGUCUGGGUUUGGGGGACAGCAGCAAUGACAAGAUGGGAUCCCUGCCCCGGAGGUGACGUCAGGACUCACAGGUCUCACGGCAGGCGGGUCUCCACAUCCUGGGUGUGGCGCAGAAGCGCUGAGCCCGCGUGGAGCUUUGCUGCCUGGUGUGGCGCGUCCUUGAAGGCGUGGGGGAGGGGAGGUGAUGGAGGCACAGGGGUGGGUUUCCUCUGCCUUUGACUUGACUGCCCUUCAGCCUUCCCAGCGAUCAGCAAGGUUCAUAGUCCCUUCUAAAGCUGCUUUGUAUAUGUGCACUAAAUCAUCCCGUUGCACAUCUUUAAAAACAUCACACGGUACCAAAAAAUUUUUUUUGUUUUAGAUAAAACAAAACGUUGCCGAGCAGACCCUUGUUCGCAGCGGAAUCUCCAACGGUUGGAGACUUUUGCCUCCUUCCCCGCUGGUGGAGAGUCGAGCUGAGUGCCAGGCUGCCUAGCGGUGAGGGGUGUGGUGGGCAUAGGCUUCAAAGGGCGGGUUUACUUCUGUUUUACCGUCCCUCGAGGCUGUGUCACCUGGUGUCCCUGAGCCUGUGUUGUCCCUCUUAAGCCUCAGCCUCCCCAGCGGUUUCCCUACCAGUCGAUUAGUGACAGUGCCCUUUAUGCCACGGUGCCCCUGGCGGGGUCCCCAGGCUGUGACCCAGUGAUCCAGCUGACGUGACUCAAAUCCUGCAUAGCGCCUGGAAGUCUCUCAAUAAAGAAUGUCUGUCCAGGGGUACCUGGGUGGCGCAGUCGGUUAAGCGUCCAACUUCAGCCAGGUCACGAUCUCGCGGUCCGUGAGUUCGAGUCC